CUUUCUUGAAGGUCCGGUAACCUUCCAUUGGUGUAGCCCUGAGACUCCAAACCCUGAUUGGAGGAUGAAGGCAGUCGGUCAUCCAGUCACAAAGGUCGUCCGGGGAGCUAGAAAGUGACCGGAAAGUUUCGCUGGGUGAUUCUGGCUGGCCUGAAAGUCACUAUGUAGACCAGGACAGCAUUGAAUGGUUUCCUGCUGCUGGGAUUAAAGCCAAGAAAGCUCUAGCCGUUCAAAUGUGAACGCCACUAGAACAGCGACUGUGGGAAGUUCCACCGAGCUUUUUCCGCAGCGGCGGACUGAGCAGUGCGCUCUUGGCCACGGAAGGUGGCGCUGCUGAGCCUGCCGGGACAAGGCUCUCCGGACCCAAGCAUCCUGGCUAAAAAGAAACUUGCGGCUUCUACUGUGAAUUCCCGGGUGUGACUCCUUUCUAGUCCACCGCAAAGGCGGGAAAUAAAGCCGGCCCCCGGGGACAAAGCGGCGCCUCCACCCACGCAGCUGCGGGGAGCCGGGAGGGGAGGGGGAGGAGGCGGAGGACGGUAGCCAUGGCGACGAGCCAGCAUCUGAAGCCGCUGAAAGGACUCUUUGUUUUGAAGCCAGCUGACGGGUGGUGCGGUUUCUAAGGUGCAGGGGGAGGCGGGUCUCGCCGGAGUCACUCGGGUUGCGCUGCGGGGACCAUCGGCUCCCACGCAGGCCUGCCCUCCGAUGGCGCCGGACACCUGCUUCCUGUCCUCUCUGCUAGUAUCGACUCCGCUAAGGACUGGGCGAGCAGGCUCCGGGGAAGCCAAACAUAAUCAGUUUGUUGGAAGAAAAACAGAAACCUUACAGAGACUAGAAGUGGCCGGCACUGGUCUCUCCCUUGUAAGAGCUGGUCCCUGGGGCGAGCUAAAGCUGUAGAGAUUUCCCGAGUACUUAAUAAUCAGCAUGUAUGGUAUGGAGUAGUGAGUGUGAGCGCUCGCAUGUGUUUUUGCAUUUCAGGAAGUGGUUGCUUAGGCAGCUGUGAGACUAGCGGUUGGGAAAUGAAAACUCUCUCGGAACAGCCUGUAGCUUUCAGUUUUGCCGUGUGUACUAUGAGUUAUCUUUAAAGCAAAAGUUUAAACAAGGAACUUUUAAAGUGCGUGUGUUUGAAUACUCUACCUAAUGAAAUUUGGAACACUGGAGAGCAUCUGAACCUUAUAUAAUACUCGAGUAAGUUUUAAAACUUGCAGGCAUAUACUAAUACCAUUCGCCCGCAGAUCAGACAAACGGGACAGCAAAACCUGGCAUUCUUCUCAUCUUGUAGGAUGUGGUAGAUCAUUUGAGAAGCACAUCGCAUAGUUCAGCCGCAACCGCGUUCUUUCGCCAAAGCUCUGGAGACGGUUUAUAAGCAGGGAAGGUUUGUCUCAAACGUUUGGGUCCAUGGCCUCUUGGUUUUGGGCUUGUGGCAAAACCUGUCAGGGAGUGUGGUGGCGGAACUGCUACUUUGGAUAUUUCCAUCUCAGUAGAAGCAAAGACAGAUGGGAUCAGGGUUCUAAAACCCCCUUCAAAAACACACCCCCAAUGGGCUCGAGUCCUUCAGCUAUCUUUCAACAGCAUCAAAGGCAAGGGGUCAAACCUUUUGGGAUGUGUAUGCUCAGAUCUAAACUAUGACACCUCUAUGGUAAGAUCAAAGUAACCACAGGGACCCUAAAUUAAGCAGAUUCAGACAUCAGAGCAAUAUUUUUUCCAUCAUCAAAUGGCGUAUUGUCAAUAAAACGAUUAACUUUUAAAGAAUUUAGGAAAGAGAAAGAACUUGAGGUUGGGUGGGUAAGGAGAUGGGGAAGAUCUGGGAGGAGUUGGGGGAGGGGACAGCAUACGGUCAAAGUGAAAAAAUAAUAAAAGUGACGAUUUAUUUUA